rnacentral:rRNA from 1 species
CCCUUAGAUGUUCUGGGCCGCACGCGCGCUACACUGUUCGACGCAGCGAGUCUUAACCUUGACCGAAAGGUUUGGGUAAUCUUCAGCAAAGUCGAACGUGAUGGGGAUCGAUCAUUGCAAUUAUUGAUCGUGAACGAGGAAUUCCUAGUAAGUGCAAGUCAUCAGCUUGCGCUGAUUACGUCCCUGCCCUUUGUACACACCGCCCGUCGCUUCUACCGAUUGAAUGGUUUAGUGAGAUCUCUGGAUUGACGCUGGCUAGGGGGCGACCCUUGGCCAGACUGUUGAGAAACUGCUCAAACUUGAUCAUUUAGAGGAAGUAAAAGUCGUAACA